AACGAACGCUGGCGGCGUGGAUAAGACAUGCAAGUCGAACGGGACAACAUCUGUAGCAAUACAGGUGUUGUUUAGUGGCGAACGGGUGCGUAACACGUGGGCAAUCUGCCGAGAAGUGGGGGAUAGCUCGCCGAAAGGCGAAUUAAUACCGCAUAUGAUCAGUGAAGACAUCUUCACGACAUCAAAGCCGGGGCAACCUGGCGCUUCUUGAUGACGCCCGC
rnacentral:rRNA from 1 species